CAGCCUUAUGUGGCUACAAACAGCAGCCUCCUUGGGGUUGUGCACAGCCUGUUGCCUACAUGGGUUACGCUAAGAGACCUUGGAGACAACU
rnacentral:snoRNA from 1 species